GACGAACGCUGGCGGCGUGCUUAACACAUGCAAGUCGAACGGAAAGGCCCUGCUUUUGUGGGGUGCUCGAGUGGCGAACGGGUGAGUAACACGUGAGUAACCUGCCCUUGACUUUGGGAUAACUUCAGGAAACUGGGGCUAAUACCGGAUAGGAGCUCCUGCUGCAUGGUGGGGGUUGGAAAGUUUCGGCGGUUGGGGAUGGACUCGCGGCUUAUCAGCUUGUUGGUGGGGUAGUGGCUUACCAAGGCUUUGACGGGUAGCCGGCCUGAGAGGGUGACCGGCCACAUUGGGACUGAGGUACGGCCCAGACUCCUACGGGAGGCAGCAGGGGGGAGUAUUGCACAAUGGGCGGAAGCCUGAUGCAGCAACGCCGCGUGCGGGAUGACGGCCUUCGGGUUGUAAACCGCUUUCGCCUGUGACGAAGCGUGAGUGACGGUAAUGGGUAAAGAAGCACCGGCUAACUACGUG
rnacentral:rRNA from 1 species